rnacentral:rRNA from 1 species
CACGUAGUUAGCCGGAGCUUAUUCUACAGGUACUGUCUUUUUUCUUCCCUGUCUAAAGCAGUUUACAAUCCGAAAACCUUCUUCCUGCACGCGGCGUCACUGCGUCAGAGUUUCCUCCAUUGCGCAAUAUUCCCGGCUGCUGCCUCCCGUAGGAGUCUGGGCCGUAUCUCAGUCCCAAUGUGGCCGUUCAACCUCUCAGUCCGGCUACUGAUCGUCGACUUGGUAGGCCUUUACCCCACCAACUAUCUAAUCAGACGCAAGCCCAUCUAUCAGCGGAUUGCUCCUUUCCCUUUUGUAACAUGUGUUACUAAGGCAUAUGCGGUAUUAGCAGUCAUUUCUAACUUGUUCGUUCCCCUCUGAUAGGCUAGGUUGCUUACGUGUUACUCACCAGUCCGCCACUAAAGCCAUUGUGUAAGUCAAUCUUCAUUCCCUUUGAACUAAGUUCUCUGUUCAUUGUACAACAUCCAUUACAACGUACUUUCCGUUCGACUUGCAUGUCUUUAUGUGCCCG